ensembl:lncRNA
CUUUACAAUGAUGUGUUAGUUUCUACUGUACAGAAAAGUGAAUCCGCUAUAGGUAUACAUAUAUCCCUUCCUUUUUGGAUUUCCUUCCCAUUUAUGUCACCACAGAGCACUGAGUUCCCUGAGGUAUACAGUAGGUUCUCAUUAGUUAUCCAUUUUAUACAUGAUAUCAAUAGAGUGUGGACUUCCCUAGAGCUCAGACGGUAAAGAAUCUGCCUGCAAUGCAGGAGGCCUGGGUUUGAUCCUGGGUUAGGAAGAUCCUCUGGAGAAGGGAAUGGCAAUCCACUCUAGUAUUCUGGACUGGAGAAGCCCACGAACAGAGGAGCCUGGCGGGCUACAGUCUGUGAAGUCUCACAGAGUCAGAUAGGACCAAGCGACUAACACUACUAUCAAGAAUGUAUAUGUGUCAAUCUUAAAAUCCUAAUCUCCUAAUUCACCCCUUCCACUCCCCACUUAUAAAAAGUCUAGAGAUCUAGAAGAUAAAGCUCUUCUAGACUUUUUAUAAGGACUCUGACACUCCUUUUGAGCUGGGAAACCAUCAUCCAUGACAUGAUUUAGCAUUUAACAGGCUGCUGAGUUGAAAAUAGAUUGAGAGGGGAGGGGGGCCAAUUAAGAGAGGCCUGAUUACAAUCCAGGUGAACAAAGAUGGCAACUGCUGGUCUCAGGCGGGUCACAAUAGAGGUUGUGAAAGCAGUCGGAUUCUAAACAUGUUUUUAAAGGCACUAAACACAGAGUUCAGAGUCCAUUGGAAAGGUGGCCGAGCAUGAUCAGCAUGAACAGGCCUAAGAUGGAGUCCAGGCCCUAUGAAUUCCUUCUUCACUCGCUACUCAGAGUCCUUACCUUCCACUGGCUUCCUGCUGGGCCAUUUGGGGAUCUUGGGCCUGGAGCACACGGAAGCCCACGGGGUCGCAAAGAGUCGGGCUCGGCUGAUCUACCAACGCACACACGGAUGGAAGGACAAAGAGGCAAAGGGGCCUGCGAGGACUCAGCAUGGGCUGACCCCCAGUUUUGCGAUCAUUUGCCCUACAUUACCAGGAGACCAGAUUCGAAGGGUCUUGAAUAAUAAGAUCAAGGUUUGGGAUACAACAGAGGCUUGUGGACAAAUAGGGAGACCCUGAAAGUCUUUGAGGAGACAAAUGCCCUGGUAACCCAGAGUUUAGGAAUGAGCAUGAAUGGCUGGAAGGGUAGCAAGAAAAAUGGAGGCAAGCCUGCUUAGGAGGAAAGUCGUUUGGGAUUUAGUGAGAGAUCUGUCCAAGGCCCUGUACGGUUUUGCCUUGAAGAAGCUGAGUUACGUGCUCUCCAUUGGGCCUUCACGAGGUUCCCAGGGGCAUGAAACUGAAUUCUGGACCCAGGAUGUCCCGUAGGGACCCAACCUAAGCUCAGAGCCAAACCCCACACCCUAGUUGCUAUGCCGCCUAAUUGGCUUAGAUUUAUC